rnacentral:lncRNA from 1 species
UCUCCAUGGAGUAGGUUUUUUCUUUCCUUUUCCCAUGGUUGAUUUCUAAUUUCAUGGCAUUGUGGUCAGAGAAGAUACUUGAGAUAAUUUCUGCGCUCCUAAAUUUAUUGAGAUUCGCUUUGUGUCCCAAUAUGUGGUCGAUUCUUGAGAAUGUUCCAUGAGCAUUUGAGAAGAAUGUGUAUUCUGCUUUUUUUGGAUGUAGUGUCCUGAAGAUAUCAAUUAAGUCUAACUUUUCUAUUGUUUCCUUUAGGAUCUCUGUUGCUUUAUUGGUUUUCUGUCUAGAGGAUCUGUCCAUUGAUGUGAGGGGGGUAUUUAGGUCUCCUACUAUGAUUGUAUUCUCAUCAAUAUCUCCCUUUAUGUCUGUUAAUAUUUGUUGUAUGUAUCUGGGUGCUCCUAUAUUUGGGGCAUAUAUGUUGAUGAUAGUAACAUCCUCUCCUUGGAUGGAUACCUUAAUCAUUAAAUAGUGUCCUUCUUUGUCUUUCUUUAUGCCUUUUGUUUUAAAGUCUAUUUUGUCUGAUAUGAGCGUUGCGACUCCUGCUUUUAUGUCAUGUCUAUUGGCGUGAAAUAUUUUUCCCCACCCUUUCACUUUCAAUCUGUAUGUAUCUUUUGUCCUAAGGUGAGUUUCUUGUAGGCAGCAUAUUGAAGGUUUUUGCCUUUUUAUCCACUCAGCCACUCUGUGUCUUUUGAUUGGGGCAUUCAGUCCAUUGACAUUUAAGGUGAUAAUUGAUAGAUGAUUAUUUAUUGCCAUUUGAACUUUGUGUUCCAGUUGAUUCUAUGGUUCUCCAUUCUACCUUUCUUUCUUUUUUUUUUUUUUUUUUUUUUUUUUUUUUUGGUUGGAUGGUCUCCUGUUAUUAUCUGCUUGAGUGUAUUUUUUUUUUCAUUUUUUGCAAAUGCAAUAUUUGGUUUUGGCUUGUGGUUGCCCUGUUUUUUAAGUAUGCUAACCCCUUCCCAUAAUUGUGUGUUUUAGCCUGAUGGUCCUGUAAGUUCAAACACUUCAUUACUAUUUACUUUCUAACAUCCCUUGCCCACAUUUUAUGGUUUUGAUGACUCUUUUUUAUUUUUUUCUUUUUAAUUGUAUUUUGUUUGAAGCAUGUUCAUGAUUAAAUCUGUAUGCUGGCUUAUUUGAGUGACUGCUCUCUGAUUGCAGUUUCCUCAGUCCUAGUUCUUCCUCUUCUUCUUCUUCUUCUUUUUUUUUCUUUUCUUUUUUCUUCCCUUUCCUUCCUUUCUUUUUGGUUUAGAGAAACCCUUUCAAUAUUUCCUUUAACCUGGGUUUUGUGUUGCUGUAUUCUUUAAGUUUUUGUUUGUUGGGAAAAAUUUUUAUUUCCCCUUCUAUUUUAAAUGAUAUUCUUGCUGGAUAAAGUAUUCUAGGUUGCAUAUUUUUUCCUUUUAGCACUUUAAAUAUCUCUUGCCAUUCCCUCCUGGCCUGCAGUGUUUCUGUAGAGAAAUCAGCUGAUAUUCUUAUGGGGGUUCCCUUGUAGGUAACAUUCUGUUUUUCUCUUGCUGCCUUUAGGAUCCUCUCCUAAUCACUAACUUUUGCCAUUUUUAUUAUGAUGUGUCUUGGUGUGGGUCUGUUUGGGUUCAUUUUGUUUGGGGCCCUCUGUGCUUCUUGUAUCUUGAACCCAGUAUCCUUUAGAUUUGGGAAGUUUCCAGCGAUAAUUUCUUCAAAUAUAUUUUCCAUCCCCUUAUCUUUUUCUACUCCUUCUGGAAUUCCUAUUAUGCGUAGAUUGGCCUGCUUUAUAUUAUCCCAUAGGUCUCUUACAUUGCUUUCCAGUUUUUUGAUUCGGUUUUCUGUCUGCUGACCGGAUUGAGUGAUUUCCAUUAUUCUAUCUUCCACAUCACUGAUUCGUUCUUCUGCAUUAUUCAUUCUGGUUUUUACUGCCCCUAGUUCAGUUUGCAUCUCUGCAAAUGAAUGUUCUAGUUUUUCUUGGCUCCUCCUUAUAUUUUCUAGUUCCUUUCUGAGGGUAUCUGCAUUACUGUUCAUAUCUUCUCUUAAUUCCUUCAGUGUUUUCACUAUUUCUCUUUUGAACUCCAGGUCUGUCUGACUGCAGAGAUCUGUUUCAUUGUUGACUGUUUUAGGUGAGUUCUCCUGUUGGUUUGACUGGGGGUGGUUUCUCAGCUUCUUCAUCUUGCUUGUUGUUUUCUUUCUCCUGAGGGAGUUGUAUUCUCCAUUAUCGGGUAGUGUUUGCCUUGUCACUGCCGUGGAAUAUUUCCUGAGGGCUGGCGUUGUUGGUCAAUCUUUUUUGAGGCAGUGUGGCUUUUCUGGAGUGUUGAUGGGGCUAACAGUGUUUCUCUGAAGCAAAGGAGGACUUCCUGAGGGCAGACAGGACUGGGGGGUCCACACCACGAUGGUAGCAGAUUUCACUUGGUCAUGCAGAGCUUGCUCUGGUGUUUGUGUUUUUAGGCUGUGGGGUUCUUGCAGGGGGUUGGCGGUGUUGGGCAGUUGCUCUUCAGGGGUGCAUCACCCCCUGGGGGCUGGAGCAGCUAUCUGGGUCACUGAGAACCUAAGAGGCUCUUCCCUAGGGCAGCCCAACUCAGAAGGACAGCCUGCGAAUGUAGGCGGAUCUUUUCACAGUCUGGCCGAGCUUGUUGCAGCUUUUCUGGGCUGCAGGGGCUCUUCCAGGGGGCUGGUGGUGCUGAGCAGUUAUUUCACGGGAGUGGGGCACCCCCUGGGGGCUUGGGCGGGUAGCAGGGCCGUUGGAGACCCAAGAGGCUCCUCCCCAGGGCAGCCCGACUCAGAAAAACCAUCUGAGAUCUUUUCCUGACUCAGCCAGGCUUGUUGCAGCUUUUCUGGGCUGCAGGGGGUCCUGCCUGGAGCUAGCAGUCCUAUGCAGCUGGUCCACUAGGGCACCCCCUGGGGGCUUGGGUGGGUAGCAGGGCCGUUAGAGACCCAAGAGGCUCCUCCCCAGGGCAGCCCGACUCAGAAAAACCAUCUGAGAUCUUUUCCCGACUCGGUCAGGCUUGUUGCAGCUUUUCUGGGCUGCAGGGGGUCCUGCCUGGAGCUGGCAGUCCUAUGCACCUGAUAGGAUACAAAUUUUAAGGUAGACUGAAAAGAUUCUUUCUUUCUUUUUUUUUUUUUUUUUUUUUUUUUUGUCUUUUUGCUAUUUCUUUGGGCCGCUCCCAUGGCAUAUGGAGGUUCCCAGGCUAGGGGUCGAAUCGGAGCUGUAGCCACCAGCCUACGCCAGAGCCACAGCAAUGCGGGAUCCGAGCCGCAUCUGCAACCUACACCACAGCUCACGGCAAUGCCAGAUCAUUAACCCACUGAGCAAAGGCAGGGACUGAACCCGCAACCUCAUGGUUCCUAGUCGGAUUCGUUAACCAUGCGCCACGACGGGAACUCCUGAAAAGAUUCUUUAAACUUUUUUUGAAUUAGUCUAGAGUCUAUUUAGAUACAAAUCAUACACAUAAGAACUAGCUGUAUUUUUUAUAUUAUUUGCCAAUACUGAUAAAAUGACUGGCUUCAUCUACCAAACUUAAAUCUGAAUGAUUUUCCACUUUUCUAAUGUUCAGAUAUACUUUCAAAUUCAAAGAUUUGACACAAUUGAGACUAUUAAAAGAUAUGCUAAAUUCUUUGAAGGCAAUUUUAAAAUAUAUAUAUUGGAAAAUUUUCCAGAAAAGCUUCUAGUGAUGGCACCAUCAUUUAAGUGUACUUUCCUACCUCCUUUGUUUAGAAAACUCGUAUGCAACUUUUACAACCCAAUUCAGAUAUUGCUUCUUCAGCAAAGCUCUCCUAGAUUUCCUUCUAUACUUUAACACAACUUUGUUAAAACUUGUUACUUUAUUACUACAACCAAGUCUGAUACAACCAAAUCUGAUACCACUAACCUGUGCCUUAGUUUCCUCAUAUGUAAAACGGGAUUUAUGACAGAUAGUACUUACAAAGGUAGAAUGAAUUAGUACCAUUUAAGAACAGAAUGUAUUAAAAAAAGAACAGCAUGUAAACACUGCAUCAUAAAAGUAUAUUAUCAGUUAUCUAUCAUUACUGUACCAAGUAACUGUCUUCAAUUCAAGACCAUUGAAUAAAACACAGACCUUGUUUGAUAGACAUACCAGAAUUCAUAUAUCCCAAGGUGUGUUAACCUCUUUCAUAAAAUGAUUUACAAUCACAAUUUAUAAGUUAAAAAUAAACAUUUACCAAGUGUGAGACAAAGCUUUACAUAUUGAAAAUAAUGUAAAUAACCUAUUUACAUAGUAGAGUUUUACAAAGCACAUUUACAGUGAAGAAAUUAAUAUUGUUUUCUGUCACACUAUGUAAUUCAAUUCUAAUGCCAAUCAUAGAUGACAAGCACAUAAUGUAUUUAUCCAUUUGGUUCCCCCCUCAAAUAUCUAAGGAUCUAAGUUGUCAGUGAAAUCUGUGGUGACUUUUUCAUCAAUAAGCUUCUGAUGGUCUUUUGAUGAUUAUCAAAUGCCUGUGCAUUCAUUUCUUCCUCUGAACCACACUCCUCCUAGGCUUUCAGUCUCCCAAACGGGACAGCUGUAUCUUACUAUUCUCUUUCUAUACCAGUGCCAAUAGCUCAGUGGAAAGAAGGGGAAAAUAAACGCACACAUUUCUAACUUUCUAUCCUAGGGACUGGUUUACUAUUCCCCUAGUCAACAUCCUCAAAAAUCUAUAAUGGAGUGGUUUGGUGUGACUGAAAAGUGGGUCCAUUUUCCUGGGCCACAGCCAAAGGAGAAAAAGGAGGUGUCCAAACCCAGCUGUAGUUCUCUGUCCCCUCUGAGCUAUUUCAUGAAACUGAACUAUUUCCCCAUACUUACCUGGAAGGAGGUCAAAGGAAAGACAAAACAAAUGACUUUCCAGGUUGGUUGGUUCUAUAUAGAUCAUACAGGAGGGCUUCAAGCCUAUGCUCUCUCUCCUUGGGAAUAAAAUGAAGAGAAAUACGGAUGACCAAAGGCAAAUCCCAUUAUCGUAAACUCUGAGGAAUAUGUUGAAUUCCUUUAACAUUUUCAAUGUAGCAUAUUAGAGUGAAUAGUAAUUAAUGAAUGGGUAAUAAUGGGGUCCGCAUUGUCAUUUGUUAUUUAGAGAUUUUGUUACAAAGAAAGAGGUCAGAAUUGGAUUUUCCCCUGAUUACAGAUUAGGAAAAAAUACAAAACGAUAUUUUCUCUCCUAUCUAUUUUUUACCGACUAUAUACAUAGUAGAUGCAGAGUGUUGUCACUUUAAAUUUAGAAUCACACAAUAAUAGAGAUCAAGACCCCAUAAGCAGGAGGCCGAAGCUUGUCGUUCUAACCCACCUCCUUGCUCUGAAGAGGAGCGAACUGAAGGACAGAGCACCUUGCCCAGAUAGACCUACACUCAGGGCUGCCAUCUUCAGUGGGAAAGGAGGUCCCUCUCAAUUUCUAGCCUAAAAUCUUCUAGGACUAGUCCAACUUCCAUUGAGCACUCUCUCUACUUACCUAUACCAUUUUUAUAAGAUGUAUCAUAAACCUCAGCACUUAUUUACUGUGUAUUAUUUACUGUGGCUUUAUGCAGGUUAGUCUGCUCUUCAUAUUUUCAAGAGCUCCUUCAAGCUAAACAAUAUGAAACCUCUUACCUCACCUCCUGGCAACAAUGCUGAAAAUUCAGCAUUUACUGAGACCUUUUCUCUUACAAACAGGCCCAAUGGAACCAAAACGAGUAGAACAAUUUCAACAGAGCUCUUGUCCUCCUGAAGUUUAAAACAAAAUAGGCAGAGUGAAAAGGCUCUAACACAGUCUGCUGGGAUGGAGGUGUAGACACAGUUCUUUUUGAACAUAGAUAACAAGGAGAUUAGUUUACCUGAGAGCAUCUGAGAAAAGCUAUUCAAAGUGUGGGCCAAGGGAAGGUUCUGGUUACCAAUGAAAUGAAAUCAGAAAUUGCGACUAAACAUUUAGAGUUUCCGCUGUGGCAUAGUGGGUUAAGACUGUAGUGGCUUGGGUCACUGUGAAGGUGCAGGUUCAAUCCCUGGCCCAGUGCAGUGGGUUAAAGAAUCUGGCAUUGCCAUAGCUGUGGCAUAGGUCAAAGCUGCAGCUCAUAUUCAAACCCUGGCCUGGGAAUUUCUUUUUUCUUUAUUUUUUCUUAAAUUUUUUUGUACUAUAGUUGAUUUACAAUGUUCUCUCAGGCCCAGGAAUUUCCAUAUGCCUUGGGUGCAGCUAUACAUUUAAAAAAUAUUUAUAUUUAGAAUCAUUUAUAGCCAUUGACAAAGUAAAAUUAUAUCUGCUAAGCCUAAUAAUAAAAAAUUGAUGUAUGCUUUGCAUGUCUGUAAACACACU